CUUCUCUCCUCCCGGGUCUGCGCGGACGCGGCCUCCUUACCUCAUUUGUCCUCGCCCCUCCCCGUCCCUCUACGCGUUUUGGUCCCUGUUUGGUGCUUUCUGUUUGCAGCUACGGCAGCCCCCAGUCUUCUAGGGAAGCCAGUCAGUGAAGCGCGGAGGUCCGGGCGCGCCGAGAGAGAGUCCAGUCUUUGAGGACCGAGUAGUCCUGGGCCACCUCCCGCCUCUGCUGUCAGAAGCAGCAGCUGCCGCCGUGGAAUCCAAAAUUUCGGGAGCUGUGACCCUUUCCUCAUGUAAAACGAGUAGUCUUGGACGGCUGGAGUGUAGUGGCGUGAUCAUAGCUCACUGUCAACUUUGAACACUUGGGCUCAAGCUAUCCUCCCUCAGCCUCCCAAGGUGGGAGGUACAGAUCUGGGCAUAGGAACCAAUCAGAAACAAUCGCUUCAGCAAUCAAGACCAUUGUUCAUCAUGGAGGAACCCAUGGAUACCUCUGAGCCUCUAUCUGCAUUACCAUUCACUGGGCAGCAGUCUUUUGAGCCAAGUGGCAAAUUUGGACAGUAUCCAUCGAUGCAGAUGAACCACAUCCAGGCACUGGGGAAGUGGAGGACAUAGAACAGCUCAAUCAGUGUUUGAUCCAACACUUCCAUCUCAUUAAGACAAGUUUGAUUUUUCUUUGCUUUUUAUUUCAUGGAAUACAUGAGAAUCUCUUAACUGUUGGAGUUUCCAAGGAGGCAUACCUCAUGACUUCAGUUAAUGGAAAGAACAAAACUAAAAUGCUGUAUGGCCAAAGCCACAAAGGGAAGGAUCCACAAUUUACAUUCUUGGAGCUAUCAUCUGUACUGUACUGUUGUGAUCUACUGAUUGGCAUUGGCAUAGUAGUAGGGGUCAAGUGACAGAAUCCGUGCCAGCAGUCUCCAGGUUCAGAAGCAAUUCAAGACCCUGAUGAUAGCUCUCCAGCAACCAACACAUGGUGAUUGUGCCAACUUGUUGCUCAGUUAUAAUGCAGGGCCAGUGAUUGGUUUAAGUGAAGACCAUGGUUGAGAUCAUUUGUCUUUGGUCUAAUAGAAUUUGAGUCUAGUAGAAUUUGAGUCUCCAGGGAAAGAGCUACUUGACCAAAUUAAACUAGUAGCAGGUAGAGCAUGAAUGACAGCAUAUUAUACCAUCAAGAUGUUCUUAGAGCAGUGUAUGGAUGGAUCGAUUGUACUGCCAUCAGUUGUGACUGACGUUGUAUUCAAGGAGAAAGAGAAACUUGUUUAGAAAGCACUUUGAAAGUUUUUUGAGUACGGGGGUGCCCUGUAUCACCCCGUUAUGGUUGAACUUUCUCCUUCAAAAUUACCAGACUUGGCAGCAGUGGCAAAUUAUUGGGCUAAAAGACUUAAUCAGACAUAUUCUGGGUUCAAGGCUCCUAAUAUAAUACCUGGUGCAAACAUUAUACUUCCACUCAUUCAGAUGGUUGCAUCCUGCCAGGCAUCCAGUGGGACUGGGAAUAUGGACACUUGAACAUUAAACAUCCUGAAGAAUUUUGGAAUGACAGGUUACAAGUGAACAUAAUCAGUUCUCUAUAUUAAAAAAAAAAAAAGAUUUGGGCA
ensembl:lncRNA EBLN3P endogenous Bornavirus like nucleoprotein 3, pseudogene